rnacentral:rRNA from 1 species
ACUGCGAAUGGCUCAUUAAAUCAGUUAUCGUUUAUUUGAUAGUACCUUACUACAUGGAUAACCGUGGUAAUUCUAGAGCUAAUACAUGCUAAAAACCUCGACUUCGGAAGGGGUGUAUUUAUUAGAUAAAAAACCAAUGCCCUCCGGGGCUCCUUGGUGAUUCAUAAUAACUUCUCAGAUCGCAUGGCCUUGCGCCGGCGACGGUUCAUUCAAAUUUCUGCCCUAUCAACUUUCGAUGGUAAGGUAUUGGCUUACCAUGGUUUCAACGGGUAACGGGGAAUUAGGGUUCGAUUCCGGAGAGGGAGCCUGAGAAACGGCUACCACAUCCAAGGAAGGCAGCAGGCGCGCAAAUUACCCAAUCCCGAUACGGGGAGGUAGUGACAAUAAAUACUGAUACAGG